CCUACGGGAGGCAGCAGUGGGGAAUAUUGGGCAAUGGGCGAAAGCCUGACCCAGCAACGCCGCGUGAAGGAAGAAGGCUUUCGGGUUGUAAACUUCUUUUGACAGGGAAGAGCAGAAGACGGUACCUGAAUAAGAAGCCCCGGCUAACUACGUGCCAGCAGCCGCGGUAAUACGUAGGGGGCAAGCGUUAUCCGGAAUUACUGGGUGUAAAGGGUGAGUAGGCGGCAUGGUAAGCCAGAUGUGAAAGCCUUGGGCUUAACCCGAGGAUUGCAUUUGGAACUAUCAAGCUAGAGUACAGGAGAGGAAAGCGGAAUUCCUAGUGUAGCGGUGAAAUGCGUAGAUAUACGGAGGAACACCAGUGGCGAAGGCGGAUUGCUGGACAGUAACUGACGCUGAGGCGCGAAAGCGUGGGGAGCAAACAGGAUUAGAUACCCCUGUAGUC
rnacentral:rRNA from 1 species